UUUAACAUUUGCAGGCAGGGGUGGAAAAAGAAGACCUUAAUUAAUCACAGCGCCCUCGUUAGAGCCCACUGUGAUCCCGGCGCUCGUUAGUCCCGCGGGUGAUUAAUUGAAAUUAAUUGAAAAGCCGGUGACAUUUACCAGCGUGGUUGAGCGGAAGUAUCGAGUGAUAAUCUCGCAGUCGUGAUUUUGGAGGUAAAUCUGCGGCUGUGGGUCUGAUUGAGGUCACCGUGAGCGGCUUCAAACUCACUGAACAGAAACACUUACUGCUCCGAGUACCAUGGUAAUGCUGUUUUACUAGAUAGGCUCAUGAUGGGUUUAGUGCCUCAACAGACACCGUGCAUCUAAAAAUGACCUGAAAAUCAAAUAUGAAGUGGAAAAUAUUGCCUCAAACUCGACCUCGUCUCUGAAACAGACAAAAGCAAGAACUCAUUUUGAGCUAUUAAACCGUCCUCAUCGUCAAGAUCUGCUGUGGAGGAAAGCACAUGUUCACCUAGUUCUCGGAGACUCUGAUGAUGAUGAUCCUUCAGCUUCCCGUCGCCGUGGUAGCAACAGUCCUCUUUGCAUCCGAUCGGUCUGUUGCCAUGGCAGCCGUGAUGAGCCGGGAGGAACCGUGGCGACCCCAGCGAGAGACCGUCUGUAUCUGUUACCAUGGAGCCCAGCGUGAGUGUAGCAGCGUCAAACCUGUUCAGAUUCAAACUCAGAAAGAUGCUAAUUUGCUUAGUCAAGCUUUUCACUGUCCAAAAUCUCCUUGACACUAAUUUACAGAACAAAGUACUACAAGUCAAGCAUCACGGUUACUGUUGUGAUUCGGAACGAACCUCAGACAUUAAA